ensembl:lncRNA SNHG28 small nucleolar RNA host gene 28
GAGGACGUGGCCCUGGCGCCCUGCACCGCCGCCGCCGCCUGCGAAGCGGGCCCCUCCCCGGUCUACGUCAAGGUCAAGAGCGCGGAGCCGGCUGACUGCGCCGAGGGGCCGGUGCAGUGCAAGAACGGCCUCUUGGUCUCCAGCCCACACUGUGAAGAGCCUUGUGCCCACAGCUGUGCACAUCCUGGGCUUCCUCCACACCUUGUCCAUAAACUGCCCCUCAGCUACCUUCAGACCCAGGAUACAGAGGCCCUUCCUUCAGGCUGCAUGCAGAACAGAUGCAGGUAGCCAUGAAGCCAAAUCUGGAAGGAGAUGAUGCUUCCUCUGAAGAUCAGAGAACAGAUGCAAAAACUAUUGCUCAAGGAAAAUAAAGUGAAAACGAGGAAAAGCAAAAGAAGAUCUGGAGAGGGCUCUCACCUGACCACAAGCAUCCUGGAGCAAUGAGUUUCAGGCAGGAAGACUCAUCCUGAGCUGAGCUGCUUUUCUUGAAGUUGUGCAAGAACGUCCUGUUGGCUGGGGCAAAUUCAGUAUUUCUUUUCCUGGCCACUGUGCUGGAGCGUGAGGAAAGACUCUCCACCCUCACUCCCAGAUCCUGCAGGAGGCGUGAGAGCGGAUGGAGAUGGUGAGGAUGUCUAUUAAUAUGGUGUUUCCUGCAAAACGGUGCCCAUCUCAACCAUGGGUUGUCAACCAUCCUCGGUGUCUACAACUGCAAUUUACCUUUGAGGGCCCAUGAACUCUGAUUACCUGAAAGUCCUUAGGCCAGAAAGAGAAACCCCUGUCCCCCACCUCUCACUUUCACCUAUUUCUAGACCUUUUCUUACAGCAAUGCCUUGGCCCUCAGGAAGCAUCAGAUCUCAAACUGCAGGGUCUGGGGCUGAAGCUGAUGCUGGCAUGGGUGACUCAGAGUUCCUCUAUUAGUUCAAAUAUGUAAUAUCUUUUAGAGCCUAGGACUCAGGCUGGAGGCAAUUCCUUGGUGCCAGUUGGUUAAUACUUUAUGAAUAGUGGUGGGGGAGGGAAUGCCUUGGACUAUUAAUGUCCCCAUGGAUCUGGAUCCUGGAGAACUUCCAGUGUCCUGGAUGGAAUGUUCUGCUUGGCUCAUCUUGCCCAGAGAAGAGCCAGGAUAUGAGAAGAUGGGAGAGGGAAGGGGGAGGUGUGAAACGUGCUGGUGCUUCCUGUCCUCGUGGUGUGAUGGCUGCCCAGGCUGCUCCUUCGAGGCAGGACAGGAUUCCCAUGGGAGAUAUGAGGACCAUGGUGAUUUCCAGGCACCAGUUAUGUCCCAGAGCAUCGUGUGCCUGUGCAGUGGGGUUACUGAUAGUCCAGGCAUCAGUUCAUAUUGUCCUUUAUGGCAGAUCCUGCACAAGGGGGUUCUCUGUCUCUGGACCCACUCUGUCAGCAUGGACAUCCUUUUUCUUUUUCCCUGGUAAGGACAUCAGAAAGAAAGUUACCCCUCCAGUGUUUGGAGUCUUGGAAUCCUUGGCCUGCCUGCAGGCCUCUGAAUCCUCAGUGUGUUAGCCCAAGGUCACCUUAGGUAAAGGAACAUUUCUCCUGGUCUUCCAACACCCUGGAAAGGGAGGCUCUUCAAGAAUAGGAAAUUCUUCCUAGUAUCUAACCUUGGCCUGCAACUAUGCCAUACAUUUAAUUGUAGAAGGUAUGGAAAGUUAGGACUGUGGUGGACCCAGUUAAAUCACUGGACAGAAGCCAUGAGGCAGAGCCAGAACCAGCUUCUGGACUCCCUGCAUGGAGCUUUCUACUAUCCCAGGUUGUUGGGUCCCUUCUCAGUGGCCAAAGAUGCUAUUUUAUGAGCCUUGAGGACAUGACACUAAGUGAAAAAAGCCUGGCCAAAGGGCCACAUAGUGUAUAGUUCUAUUUAUAUGAAAUGUCCAGGAAAGACAAAAGCAUAGAGGCAGAAAGCAGACUAGUGCUGUGGGAGGAAUGGGGGAUUUGGGAGGUGAUGGCUAAGGGGUUAUGGGGUUUUGGGGGAGGUAAUAGAAAUGUUUUAAAAUUGGUUGUGAAGGUGGAUGCCCAACUCUGCGAAUACACUAAAAGGCAUCGAAUUGUAUACUUUAAAUAGGUGAAUUGUAUGCUAUGUGAAUUAUAUCUCAAUA